CAGCAUUUCACGAUUAAUCAAACAUGUAUCUCAGAUCCAAAGAGCGAGGCACAACAAGAACAAGAAAAAAAAGGGAUGUUCUCUCGAUCUGGCUUUAUCGACUGAGAGGUUUUAUCCGCAAGUGUAUAUGGAAUGAGGAAGCAACUCGCUAGAUACAAAAGACUGCGAGCUCCUCUCUCAGCCAAGUGACAAGCAAACAGGCAGGCAGAAUGAGGAGGCAAUAUCCCAUCACCAAUAAAAUCUAUUUGGUCAGACAGCACAUGUUUCACAUUUCUUCCUUACAUGGACUCUGGCUGAUUGUGACAGGAUGGCUGAGUGGGUGACAUCACAGACCAGGAAGUUGACACACACAAGUACUGCGGAAAUACAAAAAGAGAACCUGAGAACAAAUCUGAGAACACCGAGACUGGAACACUGAGGCUAGAAAUUCUGAUCCCUAUUACUCGAGGAAAGAAUUCCUCCCUUAGUAUUCUGUUUAAUGACAGAUUAACCUGGUUUAACUUCAUCUAUUUUCUGAAAGUUCAAGCGAUUGCUACAACAACUUAUAAAUCUGAAACAUGAAGUACCGCCCAAAAUAUAAAACACAGCGGUUUACACAAUUUAUCACUUGAGCUGCUAAAAUCCAGACUCUAUUAAGAGUAACACCUGACUAUUAAAGGUUACAGCUCAUAUAAUGCAUGCCAGGUGCUGGGUCCUUUCAAAGCAUGUCUUUUGUUUUUAAGCACCAUCAAAACAAAAUAUUUAAAUGCAUUACUUUAUUAUUUAUUGAUGGGUACCAAUCAAAGCUAAACAACAGAAAAUGAAAAAACAUAUUUGAAAAGCAUGUUUUAAAAGAUGAACUCUAUGCUUUCCUGUUCUGUAUAUCAAAUGCUUAUGUUUUAAAAACAUUUCAGUUUAUAUACUUUAUACUAAAAUGUUUAUUUUGAUAUCCGUCUUUAGUAUAUACCAAUUUUUUUUUUUUUGUUUACGAUUGUAAGUCGUCCUGGAUAAGGGCGUCUGCUAAGAAAUAAAUAAUAAUAAUAAUCAAGAUAGGAAAACAUAUUGAGUGGUUUCAAUACGUACGUUUAAAAAAAAAGAAAAAAAAACUGACUUUUUAAUUUGUUUUUAUUUUUUAAGAAGAAAGGACACUAUCACAGGGUUAUAGAUAUAUUGAGACAUUUGUGGUAGCAUUAGUGGUAUUGACCUUUUAGACUAUUCCCUAACAAUAAUGAUAUCCACUAUUUUGGCCCACAUAUUAACAUGAGGAAUUGUGUUACUCCACGGGGUAUGCUUGAUUAGUUGUUUGUGUGGCAUGACCAUUCUAUUGAAGCAGGAAGAGAAUCAAGAGACAGAACCAAAUAAGUGAUUGAGUUUAUUUACAGUAUUUAACACUAUUGCACAAUACAUAGGAGCCAGGCUCCAGUUAAUAUAAACUCGAGAAUGACUCACACAAUUUACACUGAUCUUCCAACAAGCACUUAUUUCUUUCAUUCUGUCUUUUUAGUUCUUUUUUAUUAUUAUUUAUUGAUGACCUGUAAAAAAAACAGAGCUGCUUGUUUUAAUCAAUCAAGUGACAGAUAAAGAGUUAGGGAAGAAGUCAAGUCGCUGUGUUUGAACCAACACUACUGAACAAAUAUACCAACAGUACUGAACACAUUCACAAGUGGUUAGGUCACCUCUCCAUAGCUGUAUAUCAAAAAGCAUGAGGAAAAAAAAUAAAAAAAUCAAUGUUCCAAGUUUAACACAAGGACAAGAAACACAAUGUCCUCCUUUACUUUUCAAUGGACUUGAAAUGACUGUUGACAAACCACUCGACUGUAUAAUAAAGCCAACAGUGCCGAUGUUACUGAUAUGCUGUAUUUGAACGUAUGUAGGGCAAAAAAUACUGAACUUAAAAGUGAAAGUUGUUUUUUCAACGUGUAAAUUCACCCCCCCCCACCCCCACAUUUUGUAUGUAUUUAUUCAACACUGAUGUUACAGAGACAUUGCUUUUGAACGUUUAUUCAUAUGAAGUUGAUUUAAUAACUUUUAGAAGUAGAAGGAUAUAUUUUAAUACAAUAUGAAUAAACAAUGGGAGACAGAGCUUUCUGUAGUGCCGCCCCGCAACUGUGGAACAUGCUGCCCAGAUCUAUUCGAGAUUCUGAGUCUGUGGAUAUUUUUAAAUCUCACUUAAAGACACACCUUUUUAAGAUUGCUUUUGCUGAUUUAUUUUAACUUUUGAUUUUUAUUAUUAUUUGUUUAUUUAGCAGACGCCUUUAUCCAAGGCGACUUACAGAGACUAGGGUGUGUGAACUAUGCAUCAGCUGUAGAGUCACUUACAAUUACGUCUCACCCGAAAGACGGAGCACAAGGAGGUUAAGUGACUUGCUCAGGGUCACACAAUGAGUCAGUGGCUGAGGUGGGAUUUGAACCGGGGACCUCCUGGUUACAAGCCCUUUUCUUUAACCACUGGACCACACAGCCUCCUAAAA